GACGUAGGAUGCGAGCGUUGUCCGGAUUUAUUGGGCGUAAAGAGUUCGUAGGUGGUUCGUUAAGUUUGGUGUUAAAGACCAGGGCUCAACCUUGGGACCGCACUGAAUACUGGCGGACUGGAGUGAAGUAGAGGCAAGCGGAAUUCCAGGUGUAGCGGUGAAAUGCGUAGAUAUCUGGAAGAACACCGGUGGCGUAAGCGGCUUGCUGGGCUUUAACUGACGCUGAGGAACGAAAGCUAGGGUAGCGAAUGGGAUUAGAUACCCCAGUAGUCCUAGCCGUAAACGAUGGAUACUAGGCGUAUCGGGUAUCGACCCCUGAUGUGCCGUAGCAAACGCGAUAAGUAUCCCGCCUGAGUAGUACGGCCGCAAGGUUGAA
rnacentral:rRNA from 1 species